UACGUAGGUGGCAAGCGUUGUCCGGAUUUACUGGGCGUAAAGAGCGCGCAGGCGGUCGAAUAAGUCGAAUGUGAAAGCCCCCGGCUCAACUGGGGAGGGUCAUUCGAUACUGCUCGACUUGAAGGCAGGAGAGGGUAGUGGAAUUCCCGGUGUAGUGGUGAAAUGCGUAGAUAUCGGGAGGAACACCAGUGGCGCAGGCGACUACCUGGCCUGUUCUUGACGCUGAGGAGCGAAAGCUGGGGGAGCAAACGGG
rnacentral:rRNA from 1 species